AAAAAAUACAAAUGAGAGUGGCAGGUACGUGUAAUAAAUAUGAUUAAAAAAAGACAAACAAAGGUUUUAUAUAGAAGGGACCAACACAUGUUUUAGUUGCAGAAUGUUUGAAAGAUUAUUCAUAAUAACAUAAAUAAAUUAUGACUGGAUGUCACACGAAAGAACAACGGUGACGCAGCAAAAUUGACAAAAUUAAAAAAAUGAAUCAAAAACUCAAAAAA